rnacentral:piRNA from 1 species
UCUUUUUUCUUUUGAAAAAAU